CCGCGGUACCCUGACCGUGCUAAGGUAGCAUAAUCAUUUGCCUCUUAAUUGGUGGCUAGUAUGAAUGAACCUACGAAAGCUUUUCUGUCUCAAGCAUUUUCCUAAAAAUUAAUCUCUAGGUGAAGAAGCCUAAAUUUAAUUAAAAGACAAAAAGACCCCGUAGAGCCUUACUAGAAAGAUGGCCCUAUAAAUUUUACUACACAACCCUGCCCCUCUACUAGUCCAGUUGGGGCGACUAAGGAAGAUCCAAAUCUUCCUAAACUAAUAAGGCCCAUAGGCCAAUAAUGAUCCAAAAUCUUGAUUAACAAACCAGGCUACCUCAGGGAUAACAGGCUAAUCCUCCUCAAGAGCCCAAAUUGACAGGAGGGAUUGGCACCUCGAUGUUGGCUUAGGGCCCCCAAAAAAUGCAGCAGUUUCUAUGGGAGGUUUGUUCAACCUUUAAACCCCUACGUGAUC
rnacentral:rRNA from 1 species